UCUCUUCCUGGUUCCCUGAGGAGUCCUUCGAGUCUCAGCUUACUCGUUGUUGUCCCAACUCUCUGCUCCUGGUUCUCUGCGGAGUCGUCCUGGUUUCUUUCUCUCCCGGGUUCCCUGCGGAGACCUCCUGGUCUCAGCUGACUGGUUGUGGCUCCAAACUCUCUGCUCCUUGUUCCCUGCCGACUCCUCCUGGUUUGUCUCUCUUCCUGGUUCCCUGAGGAUUCCUCCUUGUCUCAGCUGACGCGUUGUGGCUCCUAAGUCUCUGCUCCUUGUUCCCUGCCCACUCUUCCUGGUUUGUUUCUCUCCCGGGUUCCCUGCGGAGACCUCCUGGUCUCAGCUGACUGGUUGUGGCUCCAAACUCUCUGCUCCUUGUUCCCUGCCGACUCCUCCUGGUUUGUCUCUCUUCCUGGUUCCCUGAGGAUUCCUCCUUGUCUCAGCUGACGCGUUGUGGCUCCUAAGUCUCUGCUCCUUGUUCCCUGCCCACUCUUCCUGGUUUGUUUCUCUUCCUGGUUCCCUGUGGAGUUCUCCUGGUCUCAGCUGACUGGUUGUGGCUCC